UGGGGAAUAUUGCACAAUGGGCGCAAGCCUGAUGCAGCCAUGCCGCGUGUAUGAAGAAGGCCUUCGGGUUGUAAAGUACUUUCAGCGGGGAGGAAGGGAGUAAAGUUAAUACCUUUGCUCAUUGACGUUACCCGCAGAAGAAGCACCGGCUAACUCCGUGCCAGCAGCCGCGGUAAUACGGCGGGUGCAAGCGUUAAUCGGAAUUACUGGGCGUAAAGCGCACGCAGGCGGUCUGUCAAGUCGGAUGUGAAAUCCCCGGGCUCAACCUGGGAACUGCAUUCGAAACUGGCAGGCUAGAGUCUUGUAGAGGGGGGUAGAAUUCCAGGUGUAGCGGUGAAAUGCGUAGAGAUCUGGAGGAAUACCGGUGGCGAAGGCGGCCCCCUGGACAAAGACUGACGCUCAGGUGCGAAAGCGUGGGGAGCAAACAGG
rnacentral:rRNA from 1 species